GAUGAACGCUGGCGGCGUGCCUAAUACAUGCAAGUCGAGCGAAUGGAUUAAGAGCUUGCUCUUAUGAAGUUAGCGGCGGACGGGUGAGUAACACGUGGGUAACCUGCCCAUAAGACUGGGAUAACUCCGGGAAACCGGGGCUAAUACCGGAUAACAUUUUGAACCGCAUGGUUCGAAAUUGAAAGGCGGCUUCGGCUGUCACUUAUGGAUGGACCCGCGUCGCAUUAGCUAGUUGGUGAGGUAACGGCUCACCAAGGCAACGAUGCGUAGCCGACAUGAGAGGGUGAUCGGCAACACUGGGACUGAGAAACGGCCCAGACGCCUGCGGGUGGCAGCAGUAGGGAAUCUUCCGCAAUGUACGAAAGUCUGACGGAGCAACGCCGCGUUAGUGAUGAAGGCUUUCGGGUCGUAAAACUCUGUUGUUAGGGAAGAACAAGUGCUAGUUGAAUAAGCGGGCACCUUGACGGUACCUAACCAGAAAGCCACGGCUAACUACGUGCCAGCCGCCGCAGAA
rnacentral:rRNA from 1 species